CUCAGCGCGUGCUGCUCGCGGAUGGAGGCUCUUUUUCCCUGGCUUGUUCAGGAAACACUGAAAUAAGUGGGAGUUAAAGGGGUUUGAUCCUGGCAAGAUUUGAAAACAGCACAACAUCUUCCACAGUGCCCAUAAAAGCCAGCAUCUUGGAGAUGGAACCCAAGCAUGACUGUUCUGAAGAUAUGCAACUUUGAUGCUAGAGUUAAGAAGCUGGAAAAAUGUGCCAAGAAAAGAACUACGAAUGUGCUGUUAUUUCCUGGCUGUAUCCAGAACUGCUCCAUUUUGGGAUUUAAUCUGCACCUAGCUUGGAGCUGAAUUAUUUCUGGAGAUCGAUACUUUGUAGUUUUCAUUUGCUUAUGAGGGGUUCACUCACUACUGGCAUAUUCCUUUGUUUUUAAUAAAUACAUAUGUGCUGUCA
rnacentral:lncRNA from 1 species